rnacentral:sRNA from 1 species
UUGCUGUGAAUAAUUUUCUGACUUUUUGAAUGCGUGCUGCACUUUGGAUUACAUGAAUACACUUGACUGAAUUGUAUUUGCAUGUGGCUGUCAUGGUUACCAGUGAUUAAAUGGGAUACUAAAUGCUUUUGGUUUUUCAGUAUAACUCAAUAAAUGCGCAUUCUGAUUACAGACUGCUAGAUUUGGUUGUUCAGCCUGUCCCCCGGCCUUCUCAGUGUUCGGAGUUUAUUCAGCAAAGCUCCAUGAAAUCUCCUUUGUACCUAGUAUCCCGUUCACUGCCCUCAAGUUCACAAUUAAAAGGAUCGCCUCAGGCCAUCUCCAGGGCUUCAGAAUUACAUUUGCUUGAAACUCCUCUUGUAGUUAAGAAAGCUAAAAGUUUGGCCAUGUCAGUUACUACUUCUGGAUUUUCUGAGUUCACUCCUCAGUCCAUCCUGAGGUCUACUCUUCGAUCAACACCUUUAGCAUCUCCCUCUCCAUCACCUGGAAGGUCUCCUCAACGACUCAAAGAAACUAGAAUUUCAUUUGUGGAAGAAGAUGUCGACCCAAAAUGGAUUCCUGGGG